GACGAACGCUGGCGGCGUGCCUAACACAUGCAAGUCGAACGGAAAGGCCCUGAGCUUGUGGGGUGCUCGAGUGGCGAACGGGUGAGUAACACGUGAGUAACCCGCCCUUGACUUUGGGAUAACUUCAGGAAACUGGGGCUAAUACAGGAUAGGAGAUCCUGCUGCAUGGUGGGGGAUGGAAAGUUUCGGCGGUUGGGGAUGGAAUGGCGGCUUACCCGCUUGUUGGUGUGGUAGUGGCGUACAAAGGCUUUGACGGGUAGCCGGCCUGAGAGGGUAACCGGCCACCAUACGACUACGGUACGGACCAGUCGCCUACGGUAGGCAGCAGUGGGGAAUAUGACGGAAUGGGCGGAAGCCUGAUACGGCAACGUCGGGAUCGGGAAGACGGCCUUCGAGUUGUGAACCGCUUUGGCCGGUGACGAAGCGUUAGUGACGGUAAUGGGUAAAGAAGCACCGGCUAACUACGUG
rnacentral:rRNA from 1 species